GGUAGGGAUACCCGCUGAACUUAAGCAUA
rnacentral:rRNA from 1 species